rnacentral:rRNA from 1 species
UACUAAAAAGCUAGCCCCACCAACCAAAAACAACAACACACUAUUUAUAACCCCUAACUCACUACUACAUCACUAAAACAAACCAUUUUACCCCCUAAGUAUGGGCGACAGAAAAGGGUCCUGUGGAGCGAUAGAGAAAGUACCGCAAGGGAAAGCUGAAAGAGUAAAUGAAAAAAUCCAGUAAAGUAAAAGAAAGCAGAGACUACACCUCGUACCUUUUGCAUCAUGAUUUAGCCAGAAAAACACAAGCAAAGUGCACUUUAGUUUGUAACCCCGAAACUAAAUGAGCUACUCCGAGGCAGCCUAUAAAAAGGGCCAACCCGUCUCUGUGGCAAAAGAGUGGGAAGAACUCUGAGUAGAGGUGACAGACCUAUCGAAUUUAGUCAUAGCUGGUUGUCUAGGAAUUGAAUAGAAGUUCAGCCUCACGGCUUCUCCCCUCAAACCACUUCAGUGACUCUUGAGCAAUAAGAAACCGAGGAGAGUUAGUUAAAGGGGGUACAGCCCCUUUAAGACAAGAUACAACUUUUCCAGGUGAGUAAAGAUCAUAUUAAAAAAGGCAAAAUGUUCUAGUGGGCCUAAAAGCAGCCAUCUAAUAGAAAGCGUUAAAGCUCAGACAUUAUAAACACAGCCUUCGAUCCCGAUAAUUAAUUCUUAGCCCCCUAAAUAUACUAGACCACCCCAUGCAUUCAUGGGGGUGAUUAUGCUAAUAUGAGUAAUAAGGAGGUUUAGGCCUCCUCCUAGCACAAGUGUAUAUCGGAACGAACCCCCACCGAAUUUUACCGGCCCCAACCCCAGAGGGCAUUGAGAAUAAAAUAAAAAACAAGAAAACUUCUCAGUACACCACCGUUAACCCCACACUGGCAAUGCUUACAAGGAAAGACUAAAAGAAAAAGAAGGAACUCGGCAAACAUAAGCCUCGCCUGUUUACCAAAAACAUCGCCUCUUGCAAAAUUAAUAAAUAAGAGGUCACGCCUGCCCUGUGACAAGUAGUUUAACGGCCGCGGUAUUUUGACCGUGCAAAGGUAGCGCAAUCACUUGUCUUUUAAAUGAAGACCUGUAUGAAUGGCACGACGAGGGCUUAACUGUCUCCUUUUUCAAGCCAAUGAAAUUGAUCUCCCCGUGCAGAAGCGGGGAUAAACACAUAAGACGAGAAGACCCUAUGGAGCUUUAGACACAAAGGCAGACCUUGUCAAGCACUCUUAAAUAAAAGACUAAACCAAAAUGAACCCUGCCCUAAUGUCUUUGGUUGGGGCGACCGCGGGGAAAUAAAAAACCCCCAUGUGGAAUGAGAGAACUUCUCUCAAAAAUAAGAGCCACAGCUCUAAUUAGCAGAAUAUCUGACCUUAAGAUCCGGCAAUGCCGAUCAACGGACCGAGUUACCCUAGGGAUAACAGCGCAAUCCCCUUUUAGAGCCCAUAUCGACAAGGGGGUUUACGACCUCGAUGUUGGAUCAGGACAUCCUAAUGGUGCAGCCGCUAUUAAGGGUUCGUUUGUUCAACGAUUAAAGUCCU